rnacentral:rRNA from 1 species
AAAGAAACUAACAAGGAUUCCCUCAGUAACGGCGAGUGAAGCGGGAAGAGCUCAAAUUUGAAAUCUCCGGUGCUUGCACCGGCGAGUUGUAGUUGCGAGAAGCACUUUCUAGGUGGAUCGGCGGUGCCUAAGUUGCUUGGAACAGCACGUCGCAGAGGGUGACAACCCCGUCUGUGGCGCCGCCGGCCGCUGACGAUGUGCUUUCGAAGAGUCGGGUUGUUUGGGAAUGCAGCCCAAAAUGGGUGGUAAACUCCAUCUAAAGCUAAAUACUGGCGUGAGACCGAUAGCGAACAAGUACCGUGAGGGAAAGAUGAAAAGAACUUUGAAAAGAGAGUUAAAAAGUACGUGAAACCGUCGGAAGGGAAACGAAUGGACUCAGCAAUGCGCCCUCUGAGAUUCAGCCGCGUGGGUGGCGUCGGCGCGGGGUUUGCGGAUCUGAAUGGACCGCGGCCCGGCGCUCGCUGCUCCCCGCCGUCGCACUUCUCUGGGGCGCGCGUCAACGUGGGUUGGGACUGGGUCUGAAAGGUGCCGGGAAGGUAGGUGUGGGCCUUCGGGUCCGUUCUGUUACAGCCCGGUUCUCUCAUGGCUCGGGCCCGACCGAGGAGCAGACAGGGCAUGCCUCCUGUGGCUAGGGUCCCGUCCUUCCGGCCGGCUGUCCAGUGUGGUGG